rnacentral:rRNA from 1 species
AGGACGAACGCUGGCGGCACGCUUAACACAUGCAAGUCGAACGGAGUUAUCGAGAGCUUGCUUUUGAUAACUUAGUGGCGACGGGUGAGUAACACGUGAGCAAUCUGCCCUUAAGAGGGGGAUAGCAGUCGGAAACGACUGAUAAUACCGCAUAAGAUAGUAGUACCGCAUGGUACAGCUAUAAAAGAUUUAUCGCUUAGGGAUGAGCUCGCGUCUGAUUAGCUAGUUGGUGAGGUAACGGCUCACCAAGGCAACGAUCAGUAGCCGGACUGAGAGGUUGGACGGCCACAUUGGGACUGAGACACGGCCCAGACUCCUACGGGAGGGCAGCAGUGGGGAAUAUUGCACAAUGGAGGAAACUCUGAAUGCAGCGAUGCCGCGUGAGGGAAGAAGGUUUUAGGAUUGUAAACCUCUGUUGACAGGGACGAUAAUGACGGUACCUGUUGAGGAAGCUCCGGCUAACUACGUGCCAGCCGCGGC